UCGGCAGAAUGUGGAUUUGUGCCACGCCAAACGUGCUCGGACCGACUUUGAAGAAAAUGCGGGUUACAUGUAUCCAAAAGCAUUGGUCAAAUAUGACAUGACCCAAGAAACACUCACGAGCCAUAACCACAGUCGUAGAGCCAAGCAGGAUAACGUCUUCUCAGUUUUUCCACUCAAUGAUCCGG